GCCGAACACAGACUGCGAAGCCGGCACCACAGUCUGCUGCCCAGAGGUCCCCACGGCCCUCCACCCUUGCUUCCUGGCACUGCUAGACCAAAAAAUACAAGCAAGGAGGGCUGAUGAAGUAACAAUUACUUUUAUCUGAUAAGCGCAUUUAAAAACUCCUUUGUGAGUAAUGGCGGGAGAACUACCCCCAAAUGUUUAUUCAGAUGUCUCAGGGAGAAACAUUCACGAGAUCAGACCAGGCAACGACGUGGGACAACGGGGCUGGUGCUCAGCUAGCUGCGUGAUGAACAGCACAUUUUUAUUACUGCGAUGACUUCCCCAGCCCUCUCCUAUCUGCUGGGUCACUUCUCCAGCUCGAUGCUCUGGGAAUGCAAAUGAAUUUCAAUGCUCGCUCCAGCCAAGAAUCAUCACUGAAGGCAGAUCUGCUGGAGAAGGAAUUCUGCAGCGCCUUCCGGAGAAUUCCGUCCCUCUGCUGGCCCGUGAUUUGAAUGGCUCUGACUUGGAUCACCUUGGGAA